CCGGGGAGUCGGCCUCGGGGCUCUGCUCUCCUACCUCAGUCUGCCCUACCCUGGAAUGGGGAAAAUGCGGACAUGCCACUCAGUCCGGCCGCGAACAGUGCUCCAGAACUCAGAGAGUUUUCCAGACGGGUGGAGAUCGCGUUCCCUGCCCGCCGAGGUCCCAUCGCUUCCCUGCUGGGAAGACAAAUGAGGCGCUUUAGCCGUCUCCACGGCCAGCCCCUCCCUCAUAACCCGAGAUUCUUUGUGGGCUCUUAGUCCAUAGCUGCCUUUGAGGUGGUGUAGACCUUGCUAACCAGGACGGCCCAGUAGGCAGAGCUCAUUUUUAUUCCUGUCUGCAAUCGUGCAAAAACGCCUCUUAUGGAAAAGCCAGAGCGCCAGGAGUCAGCAAAACACACUAAAGAUUGGGCAGUCACUGGGGAGAACUGCAAUUAACCUUUAAGAUACUACGUGUCAGGCCUCUGAGCCCAAACUAAGCCAUCAUAUCCCCUGUGACCUGCAUGUAUACAUACAGAUGGCCUGAAGCAACUGAAGAUCCACAAAAGAAGUGAAAAUAGCCUUAACUGAUGACAUUCCACCAUUGAGAUUUGUUCCUGCCCCACCCUAACUGAUACGAUAUAUUCUCCCCCGCCCUUAAGAAGACUCAGCCCGCCUGCACCCAGGUGAAAUAUACAGCCUUGUUGCUCACACAAAGCCUGUUUGGUGGUUUCUUCACACGGAUGCAUGUGACAUUUGGUGCUGAAGACCCAGGACAGGAGGACUCCUUUGGGAGACCAGUGCCCUGUUGUCGCCCUCACUCCGUGAGGAGAUCCACCUAUGAUCUCAGGUCCUCAGACCAACCAGCCCAAGGAACAUCUUGCCAAUUUCAAAUCGGAUAGGAGUGUCAGGCCUCUGAGUCCAAGCUAAGCCAUCAAAUCCCCUGUGACCUGCACGUGUACAUCCAGAUGACCUGAAGCAACUGAAGAUCCACAAAAGAAGUGAAAGUAGCCUUAACUGAUGACAUUCCACCAUUGUGAUUUGUUCCUGCCCCACGCUAACUGAUACCAUAUAUUCUUCCCCCGCCCUUGAGAAUGUACUUUGUACACCUAUCCCAAACCUAUAAGAACUAAUGAUAAUCCUACCACCCUUUGCUGACUCUCUUUUUGGACUCAGCCCGCCUGCACCCAGGUGAAAUAAACAGCCCUGUUGCUCAC
rnacentral:lncRNA from 1 species